UAAAGAGCUCGUAGGCGGUUUAUCACGUCGGCUGUGAAAUCCCGAGGCUUAACCUCGGGCUUGCAGUCGAUACGGGUUGACUAGAGUGAAGCAGGGGAGACUGGAAUUCCUGGUGUAGCGGUGAAAUGCGCAGAUAUCAGGAGGAACACCGGUGGCGAAGGCGGGUCUCUGGGCUUUAACUGACGCUGAGGAGCGAAAGCGUGGGUAGCGAACAGGAUUAGAUACCCUGGUAGUCCACGCCGUAAACGGUGGGCGCUAGGUGUGGGGACCAUUCCACGGUUUCCGUGCCGCAGCUAACGCAUUAAGCGCCCCGCCUGGGGAGUACGGCCGCAAGGCUAAAACUCAAAGGAAUUGACGGGGGCCCGCACAAGCGGCGGAGUAUGUUGCUUAAUUCGAUGCAACGCGAAGAACCUUACCAAGGCUUGACAUAUACCGAAAACUCAUAGAGAUAUGGGGUCCUUUUGGGCGGUAUACAGGUGGUGCAUGGUUGUCGUCAGCUCGUGUCGUGAGAUGUUGGGUUAAGUCCCGCAACGAGCGCAACCCUCGUUCUAUGUUGCCAGCACGUCGUGGUGGGGACUCAUAGGAGACCGCCGGGGUCAACUCGGAGGAAGGUGGGGAUGACGUCAAAUCAUCAUGCCCCUUAUGUCUUGGGCUGCAAACAUACUACAAUGGCCGGUACAAAGGGCUGCGAUACCGCGAGGUGGAGCGAAUCCCAGAAAGCCGGUCUCAGUUCGGAUUGGGGUCUGCAACUCGACCCCAUGAAGUCGGAGUCGCUAGUA
rnacentral:rRNA from 1 species